GACGAACGCUGGCGGCGUGCUUAACACAUGCAAGUCGAACGGAAAGGCCCUGCUUUUGUGGGGUUCUCGAUUGGCGAACGCGUGAGUAACACGUGUGUAACCUGCCCUUCUCUUUGGGAUAACUUCACGUAACUGGGGCUACUACCGUAUCGGAGCUCCUGCUGCAUGGUGGGGGUUGGAUAUUUUCGGCGGUUGGGGAUGGACGCGCGGCUUAUCAGCUUGUUGGUUGGGUAGUGGCUUACCAAGCCUUUGACCGAUAGCCGGCAUGUGUGGGUGAACGGGGACAAUGGGACUGAGAGACGGACCAGAGUGCAACGGGAGGCAGCAGUGGGGAAUAUGGCACAAUGGGAGGAAGCGUGAUGAAGAAACGCCGGGGGCGGGAAGACGGCCUUCGGGGUGAAAAACGCAUUAGCCUGAGACGAAGCGGGAGUGACGGUAAUGGGAAAAGAAGCACCGGCUAACUACGUG
rnacentral:rRNA from 1 species